UUGCAUAUCAAUAAGCGGAGGAAAAGAAACCAACAGGGAUUGCCCCAGUAACGGCGAGUGAAGCGGCAACAGCUCAAAUUUGAAAUCUGGCUCCUUUCGGGGUCCGAGUUGUAAUUUGUAGAGGAUGCUUUUGGUGAGGUGCCGCCCGAGUUCCCUGGAACGGGACGCCACAGAGGGUGAGAGCCCCGUCUGGCUGGCCACCGAGCCUCUGUAAAGCUCCUUCGACGAGUCGAGUAGUUUGGGAAUGCUGCUCAAAAUGGGAGGUAUAUGUCUUCUAAAGCUAAAUAUUGGCCAGAGACCGAUAGCGCACAAGUAGAGUGAUCGAAAGAUGAAAAGCACCUUGAAAAGAGGGUUAAAUAGUACGUGAAAUUGUUGAAAGGGAAGCGCUUGUGACCAGACUUGGGCGCGGCGGAUCAUCCGGGGUUCUCUCCGGUGCACUUCGCCGUGUCCAGGCCAGCAUCAGUUCGUCGCGGGGGAAAAAGGCUUCGGGAACGUGGCUCCUCCGGGAGUGUUAUAGCCCGUUGCAUAAUACCCUGCGGUGGACUGAGGAC
rnacentral:rRNA from 1 species